rnacentral:lncRNA from 1 species
CAAUGGCACAUUUCCCCUUCAGUCCUGGCACUGUAAUGUUACAUCUUGGUUUUUGGUUUUGUGUACAAAUGUGUUUAACACUGUGUAUUAAACACAAGGAAACACUCUUUUGUUGGUCACAUAGCCAUCAUGUACAACCAAAUUUAUACUUUUGUAUUUUUCCAAAACAAACAUCCCUGGGUGUUUCGUGCACACACACAGACAACUCACUAGACAAGGUUUACCUCCUCCAGACCACGCCUAUCCAAGACAGUGCCUAAGUAGAUGCAGGAGAGUUGAGUCUGUCUCUGUGGUGUCUUCAUGGGAAACACCAACAUUUUCUUGCUCUACUCUGGUGUUGGUUGGGGAAUUCGGUUAUUUCUGGGAAAGAUUGAGUGUGUCAAAGAAUCAUUCUGUUUGCUGUCUGAAAACAAAUGACACAGUAUUUGUUUUGAACAAAUGAAACAGUGUUUGUUUUGGUGUGCAAAGGCCUUUGACCCUUUCUGUGUCAACGUACUUUUUAAUCAUCACAUAAACAUCAUGUAUGACCAAAUUUAAAUUUUUGUAGUGUGUAUUAAUGCCU